rnacentral:tRNA from 1 species
GGGGUAGUAUUGGAGUUCUGAAAUUACAAAAUAUCUGUAAUAUUCUGAUUAUAAGUAGCCAACAAACAGCUUCCCGAGCUGAGGGUCGCGAGUUCGAGCCUCGUUUGCCGCU